UACAUGGGGUGCAAACGUUGCUCGGAAUCAUUGGGCGUAAAGCGCGCGUAGGCGGUUACUCAGUUGGAUGUGAAAGCCCUCGGCUUAACUGAGGAAGUGCAUCCAAAACUGAGUAGCUAGAGUACUAAAGAGGGUCGCGGAAUUCCCGGUGUAGAGGUGAAAUUCGUAGAUAUCGGGAGGAACACCGGUGGCGAAGGCGGCGACCUGGGUAGAUACUGACGCUGAGGCGCGAAAGCGUGGGGAGCAAACAGG
rnacentral:rRNA from 1 species